GAACGCUGGCGGCGUGCCUAAUACAUGCAAGUAGAACGCUGAAGGAGGAGCUUGCUUCUCUGGAUGAGUUGCGAACGGGUGAGUAACGCGUAGGUAACCUGCCUGGUAGCGGGGGAUGACUAUUGGAAACGAUAGCUAAUACCGCAUAAGAGUGGAUGUUGCAUGACAUUUGCUUAAAAGGUGCACUUGCAUCACUACCAGAUGGACCUGCGUUGUAUUAGCUAGUUGGUGGGGUAAGGGCUCACCAAGGCGACGAUACAUAGCCGACCUGAGAGGGUGAUCGGCCACACUGGGACUGAGACACGGCCCAGACUCCUACGGGAGGCAGCAGUAGGGAAUCUUCGGCAAUGGACGGAAGUCUGACCGAGCAACGCCGCGUGAGUGAAGAAGGUUUUCGGAUCGUAAAGCUCUGUUGUAAGAGAAGGACGAGUGUGAGAGUGGAAAGUUCACACUGUGACGGUAUCUUACCAGAAAGGGACGGCUAACUACGUGCCAGCAGCCGCGGUAAUACGUAGGUCCCGAGCGUUGUCCGGAUUUAUUGGGCGUAAAGCGAGCGCAGGCGGUUAGAUAAGUCUGAAGUUAAAGGCUGUGGCUUAACCAUAGUAGGCUUUGGAAACUGUUUAACUUGAGUGCAAGAGGGGAGAGUGGAAUUCCAUGUGUAGCGGUGAAAUGCGUAGAUAUAUGGAGGAACACCGGUGGCGAAAGCGGCUCUCUGGCUUGUAACUGACGCUGAGGCUCGAAAGCGUGGGGAGCAAACAGGAUUAGAUACCCUGGUAGUCCACGCUGUAAACGAUGAGUGCUAGGUGUUAGACCCUUUCCGGGGUUUAGUGCCGUAGCUAACGCAUUAAGCACUCCGCCUGGGGAGUACGACCGCAAGGUG
rnacentral:rRNA from 1 species